UAGAGUGUUGCUGUGUGGUUGCUAAGGUAUUCUCAGUGCUUUGGGCACUGCUAUGCUGUUGCUAUAGUAUUCCGAGUGUUUUGGACACUGCUAUGCUGUUGCUAGGGUGUUGCUAAGGUAUUCUCAGUGUUUUGGACACUGCUAUGCUGUUACUAGAGUGUUGCUGUGUGGUUGCUAAGGUAUUCUCAUUGUUUUGGGCACUGCUAUGUUGUUGCUAGGGUGUUGCUAAGGUAUUCUGAGUGUUCUGGACACUGCUAUGCUGUAGCUAGGGUGUUGCUAAGGUAUUCUGAGUGUUUUGGAAACUGCUUUGCUGUUGCUAGGGUGUUGCUAAGGUAUUCUCAGUGUUUUGGACACUACUAUGCUGUUGCUAGAUUGUUGCUGUGUGGUUGCUAAGGUAUUCUCAUUGUUUUGGGCACUGCUAUGUUGUUGCUAGGAUGUUGCUAAGGUAUUCUGAGUGUUUUGGACACUGCUAUGCUGUUGCUAGGGUGUUGCUAAGGUAUUCUCAGUGUUUUGGACACUGCUAUGCUGUUGCUAGGGUGUUGCUAAGGUAUUCUCAGUGUUUUGGACACUGCUAUGCUGUUGCUAGGGUGUUGCUAAGUAAUUCUCAGUGUUUUGGACACUGCUAUGCUGUUGCUAGGGUGUUGCUAAGGUAUUCUCAGUGUUUUGGACACUGCUAUGCUGUUGCUAGGGUGUUGCUAAGGUAUUCUCAGUGUUUUGGACACUGCUAUGCUGUUGCUAGGGUGUUGCUAAGGUAUUCUCAGUGUUUUGGACACUGCUAUGCUGUUGCUAAGGUGUUGCAAAGGAAUUCUGAGCAUUAAAGGCAUAAUGUAUUUGUAUCUAAUUUUGAAACUUUUUUUUUUAUUUGUCUUUCAGUUAAAUUAUAAUUGACGUUCAAGUAAACCGACUGUUACAAAGACAAUAAAAAAAGUUUAAUCCAAGUUAAAUAAAGGUAUGAUCUGGCUUUCCAAAGUCAAUGAGCAAUUGUGUUAAAUAACGCUUUAUACUGACCAAAAUAAUUUGAUUUUUGAAAAUUAUUUUUCCAUAAUUGAGAACCCGGCACCAGGUCAAAACUGUCAAAACUGAUCACUUCAUCAGGCUGCAUGAUCUGAAGUACUACUCCAUUACUAAUUCUGUAGCACAAAUGAUCAGUCGUGCAGUCUAUCAGUCAAUGUUCUGGGUUUGUCCAGAUCACUAACACUAUAUGAGCAAUAACAGUAAGGUUUAGUAAGCACCACUAACUAGACAAAGUUUGGAAACGUG